rnacentral:tRNA from 1 species
GUGAAAUUGGUAGACACGCUGCAGAGCAUCUCGGUUCGAGUCCGAGUAGCGGCA